CCCUUAGAUGUUCUGGGCUGCACGCGUGCUACAAUGGCGCUUGCAACAAGUCUUGCCAACCCGAUAGGGUGAGCGGAUCUUUGAAGAGGCGUCGUGAUCGGGACAGUUGAUUGCAAUUAUUCGACUCGAACGAGGAAUUCCUUGUAAUCGCGAUUCAUCAUAUCGCGCUGAAUACGUCCCUGCCCUUUGUACACACCGCCCGUCGCUACUACCGAUUGAACGGUUUAGUGAGGGCCUCGGAUUGGUCUCGGCCCGCUCUUUACCGGGCGGCGCCGUUGGUCGAGAAGACGCUCGAACUUGAUCGUUUAGAGGAAGUAAAAGUCGUAACA
rnacentral:rRNA from 1 species